CUCGAAAGAGAGCCGUAACACAGGUGCUGCAUGGCUGUCGUCAGCUCGUGUCGUGAGAUGUUGGGUUAAGUCCCGCAACGAGCGCAACCCUUGUCAUUAGUUGCUACGAAAGGGCAACUCUAAUGAGACUGCCGGUGACAAACCGGAGGAAGUGGGGAUGACGUCAAGUCCUCAUGGCCCUUAUGGGUAGGGCUACGCACGUCAUACAAUGGCCGGUACAAAGGGCAGCCAACCCGCGAGGGGGAGCCAAUCCCGUAAAGCCGGUCGUAGUCCGGAUCGCAGUCUGCAACUCGACUGCGUGAAGUCGGAAUCGCUAGUAAUCGUGGAUCAGCAUGUCACGGUGAAUACGUUCCCGGGUCUU
rnacentral:rRNA from 1 species